rnacentral:rRNA from 1 species
UACGGAGGGUGCAAGCGUUGUUCGGAAUCAUUGGGCGUAAAGCGCGUGUAGGCGGCUUGGCAAGUCGGUUGUGAAAACUGGAGGCUCAACCUUCAGAGGUCGACCGAAACCAUCUGGCUAGAGUCCGGGAGAGGAGAGUGGAAUUCCUGGUGUAGCGGUGAAAUGCGCAGAUAUCAGGAAGAACACCCGUGGCGAAAGCGGCUCUCUGGAACGGUACUGACGCUGAGACGCGAAAGCGUGGGGAGCGAACAGG